GGACAUUUAGCUCAGCUGGAAGAGCAUCCGCUUGACGUGCGGAAGGUCAGCGGUUCGAACCCGUUAAUGUCCA
rnacentral:tRNA from 3 species